AACGAACGCUGGCGGCAGGCCUAACACAUGCAAGUCGAGCGCCCCGCAAGGGGAGCGGCGGACGGGUGAGUAACGCGUGGGAACGUGCCCUUUGCUACGGAAUAGCCCCGGGAAACUGGGAGUAAUACCGUAUAAGCCCUACGGGGGAAAGGUUUAUCGGCAAAGGAUCGGCCCGCGUUGGAUUAGGUAGUUGGUGGGGUAAUGGCCUACCAAGCCGACGAUCCAUAGUUGGUCUGAGAGGAUGAUCAGCCACACUGGGACUGUGACACGGCCCAGACUCCUACGGGAGGCAGCAGUGGGGAAUCUUAGACAAUGGGCGCAAGCCUGAUCUAGCCAUGCCGCGUGAGCGAUGAAGGCCUUAGGGUUGUAAAGCUCUUUCGUGGGGGAAGAUAAUGACUGUACCCCAAGAAGAAGCCCCGGCUAACUCCGUGCCAGCAGCCGCGGUAACAC
rnacentral:rRNA from 1 species